rnacentral:lncRNA from 1 species
UUUGGUGGGGCGCAAAUAGAAAACAUCUACGAGCUUUCAGGUGGUCUUCUAAAUCUGGAUAGAAGAGAGAUAUGUUGAUAGGCUUGUGCCUAUUCGAAACUAACAAGUUCUCGAAGUAUGCCCUAAUAACCAUGCCACGUUGAACUCCUUAUCAGUUGGUCGUCAACUAAAGUGCCUCAGUUAACAUAGGGUAGAUAGGAGUGGGCAUGAAGCACUUUUACACUAGCUGGAAGCGGGAAUGGAAAGACUUUCUAUAGCACCAGCUGACCGAGGAGACUCGUUCCCGGAAUCGGCCCAACGGAAGUGCCCCUACCGUCGAUCUUGGGAUGCAGGAUUUUGGUCAAGCUAUCGAACUCUCCC